rnacentral:rRNA from 1 species
GACGAACGCUGGCGGCGUGCUUAACACAUGCAAGUCGAACGAUGACGACCGAGCUUGCUCGGUCUGAUUAGUGGCGAACGGGUGAGUAACACGUGAGCAACCUGCCCUUCACUCUGGGAUAACCUCGGGAAAUCGGGGCUAAUACCGUAUAUGAGCUCCUGUCGCAUGGCGGGUGUUGGAAAGUUUUUCGGUGAAGGAUGGGCUCGCGGCCUAUCAGUUUGUUGGUGAGGUAGUGGCUCACCAAGGCGAUGACGGGUAGCCGGCCUGAGAGGGCGACCGGCCACACUGGGACUGAGACACGGCCCAGACUCCUACGGGAGGCAGCAGUGGGGAAUAUUGCACAAUGGGCGAAAGCCUGAUGCAGCGACGCCGCGUGAGGGAUGACGGCCUUCGGGUUGUAAACCUCUUUCAGCAGGGAAGAAGCGAAAGUGACGGUACCUGCAGAAGAAGCGCCGGCUAACUACGUG